UACGAAGGGGGCUAGCGUUGCUCGGAAUCACUGGGCGUAAAGGGUGCGUAGGCGGGUCUUUAAGUCAGGGGUGAAAUCCUGGAGCUCAACUCCAGAACUGCCUUUGAUACUGAGGAUCUUGAGUUCGGGAGAGGUGAGUGGAACUGCGAGUGUAGAGGUGAAAUUCGUAGAUAUUCGCAAGAACACCAGUGGCGAAGGGCGGCUCACUGGCCCGGAUACUG
rnacentral:rRNA from 1 species